rnacentral:rRNA from 1 species
UACGAAGGGGGCUAGCGUUGUUCGGAAUUACUGGGCGUAAAGGGCGCGUAGGCGGCCUUCUAAGUCAGACGUGAAAUCCCCCGGCUUAACCUGGGAACUGCGUCUGAUACUGGGAGGCUUGAGUAUGGGAGAGGGAUGUAGAAUUCCAGGUGUAGCGGUGAAAUGCGUAGAUAUCUGGAGGAAUACCGGUGGCGAAGGCGGCAUCCUGGACCAUAACUGACGCUGAGGCGCGAAAGCUAGGGGAGCAAACGGGG